rnacentral:rRNA from 1 species
AGGGUUUGAUCCUGGCUCAGAUUGAACGCUAGCGGCAUGCUUAACACAUGCAAGUCGAACGGUAACAGCAGAGCUUGCUCUGGCUGACGAGUGGCGGACGGGUGAGUAAUGCUUAGGAAUCUGCCCAGUAGCGGGGGACAACAUGUGGAAACGCAUGCUAAUACCGCAUACGCCCUACGGGGGAAAGCAGGGGAUCUUCGGACCUUGCACUAUUGGAUGAGCCUAAGUCAGAUUAGCUUGUUGGUGGGGUAAAAGCCUACCAAGGCGACGAUCUGUAGCUGGUCUGAGAGGACGAUCAGCCACACUGGAACUGAGACACGGUCCAGACUCCUACGGGAGGCAGCAGUGGGGAAUAUUGCACAAUGGGGGAAACCCUGAUGCAGCAAUGCCGCGUGUGUGAAGAAGGCCCGAGGGUUGUAAAGCACUUUCAGUAAGGAGGAAAAGUAUGUAGUUAAUAACUGCGUACCCUGACGUUACUUACAGAAGAAGCACCGGCUAACUCCGUGCCAGCAGCCGCGGUAAUACGGAGGGUGCGAGCGUUAAUCGGAAUUACUGGGCGUAAAGCGUGCGUAGGCGGCACGGUCA